rnacentral:rRNA from 1 species
CAGUAGCCGCGGGAAUACGGAGGGUGCAAGCGUUAUCCGGAUUUAUUGGGUUUAAAGGGUCCGUAGGCGGACUUAUAAGUCAGUGGUGAAAGCCUGUCGCUUAACGAUAGAACUGCCAUUGAUACUGUAAGUCUUGAGUAUAUUUGAGGUAGCUGGAAUAAGUAGUGUAGCGGUGAAAUGCAUAGAUAUUACUUAGAACACCAAUUGCGAAGGCAGGUUACCAAGAUAUAACUGACGCUGAGGGACGAAAGCGUGGGUAGCGAACAGGAUUAGAUACCCGUGUAGUCCCUGUCUCUUAUAU